rnacentral:rRNA from 1 species
GACGAACGCUGGCGGCGUGCUUAACACAUGCAAGUCGACAUGAGUGGCGAACUGGUGAGUACUACGUGGGUAUCCCGCUCUCCUUUUUGGGAUAAGCCUUGGAAACGGGGUCUAAUACCGAAUAAAGGGGGAUGGGCUCGCGGCCUAUCAGCUUGUUGGUGGGGUGAUGGCCUACAAAGGCGGUGACGGGUAGCCGGCCUGAGGGGAAGAACGGCCAGAGUGGGGCGGGGGAACAGAACAGAAUCCGACGGGAGGCAGCAGUGGGGAAUAUUGAACAAUGGGCGAAAGCAUGAUGCAGCGACGCAGGGUGGGGGAUGAAGGGUAUCGGGUUGUAAACCUCUUUCGCUAUCGAACGGGUAAGUAGAGAAGAAGCGCCGGCUAACUACGUGACAGCAGCCGCGGUAAUAG